AACGAACGCUGGCGGCGUGCCUAACACAUGCAAGUCGAACGAGAUCUUCGGAUCUAGUGGCAGACGGGUGAGGAACACGUGGGAACAUCCCUUUCAGUUCGGAAUAACGUUGGGAAACUAACGCUAAUACCGGAUACGUCCUUCGGGAGAAAGAUUUAUCGCUGAAAGAUUGGCCCGCGUCUGAUUAGCUAGUUGGUGAGGUAAUGGCUCACCAAGGCUACGAUCAGUAGCUGAUCUGAGAGGAUGAUCAGCCACAUUGGGACUGAGACACGGCCCAAACUCCUACGGGAGGCAGCAGUGGGGAAUAUUGGACAAUGGGCGCAAGCCUGAUCCAGCCAUGCCGCGUGAGUGAUGACGGCCUUCGGGUUGUAAAGCUCUUUUGUCCGGGAAGAUAAUGACUGUACCGGAAGAAUAAGCCCCGGCAAACUUCGUGCCAGCCGCCGCCGUAAAAC
rnacentral:rRNA from 1 species